GGCGUAAGGGCUCGCAGGCGGUUUCUUAAGUCUGAUGUGAAAGCCCCCGGCUCAACCGGGGAGGGUCAUUGGAAACUGGGAAACUUGAGUGCAGAAGAGGAGAGUGGAAUUCCACGUGUAGCGGUGAAAUGCGUAGAGAUGUGGAGGAACACCAGUGGCGAAGGCGACUCUCUGGUCUGUAACUGACGCUGAGGAGCGAAAGCGUGGGGAGCGAACAGGAUUAGAUACCCUGGUAGUCCACGCCGUAAACGAUGAGUGCUAAGUGUUAGGGGGUUUCCGCCCCUUAGUGCUGCAGCUAACGCAUUAAGCACUCCGCCUGGGGAGUACGGUCGCAAGACUGAAACUCAAAGGAAUUGACGGGGGCCCGCACAAGCGGUGGAGCAUGUGGUUUAAUUCGAAGCAACGCGAAGAACCUUACCAGGUCUUGACAUCCUCUGACAACCCUAGAGAUAGGGCUUUCCCUUCGGGGACAGAGUGACAGGUGGUGCAUGGUUGUCGUCAGCUCGUGUCGUGAGAUGUUGGGUUAAGUCCCGCAACGAGCGCAACCCUUGAUCUUAGUUGCCAGCAUUCAGUUGGGCACUCUAAGGUGACUGCCGGUGACAAACCGGAGGAAGGUGGGGAUGACGUCAAAUCAUCAUGCCCCUUAUGACCUGGGCUACACACGUGCUACAAUGGACAGAACAAAGGGCUGCAAGACCGCAAGGUUUAGCCAAUCCCAUAAAUCUGUUCUCAGUUCGGAUCGCAGUCUGCAACUCGACUGCGUGAAGCUGGAAUCGCUAGUAAUCG
rnacentral:rRNA from 1 species